rnacentral:rRNA from 1 species
UACGUAGGCAGCGAGCGUUGUUCGGAGUUACUGGGCGUAAAGGGUGUGUAGGCGGUUCUCUAAGUUUGGUGUGAAAUCUCCCGGCUCAACCGGGAGGGUGCGCCGAAAACUGGAGGGCUAGAGUGCGGGAAGGGAGAGUAGAAUUCCUGGUGUAGCGGUGAAAUGCGUAGAUAUCAGGAGGAAUACCGGUGGUGUAGACGGCUCUCUGGACCGCGACUGACGCUGUGACACGAAAGCGUGGGUAGCAAACGGG